rnacentral:rRNA from 1 species
AAAACGAACGCUGGCGGCAUGCCUAACACAUGCAAGUCGAACGUGAUCCGGGCUUCGGCCUGGUGAAAGUGGCAGACGGGUGAGUAACGCGUGGGAACCUGCCCUGUGGUAGGGAAUAACCGCGGGAAACUGCGGCUAAUACCCUAUGUGUCCUGAGGGACAAAGAUUUAUCGCCAUAGGAGGGGCCCGCGUCGGAUUAGGUAGUUGGUGGGGUAACGGCCUACCAAGCCAUCGAUCCGUAGCUGGUCUGAGAGGAUGAUCAGCCACACUGGGACUGAGAUACGGCCCAGACUCCUACGGGAGGCGGCAGUGGGGAAUAUUGGACAAUGGGGGCAACCCUGAUCCAGCAAUGCCGCGUGGGUGAUGAAGGCCUUCGGGUUGUAAAGCCCUUUCGGCGGGGAAGAUGAUGACGGUACCCGCAGAAGAAGCCCCGGCUAACUUCGUGCCAGCAGCCGCGGUAAUACGAAGGGGGCUAGCGUUGUUCGGAAUUACUGGGCGUAAAGCGCACGCAGGCGGAUUGAUAAGUCAGGGGUGAAAUCCCGGGGCUCAACCUCGGAAUUGCCUUUGAUACUGUCUGUCUUGAGUUCGGGAGAGGUUGGCGGAAUUCCCGGUGUAGUGGUGAAAUGCGUAGAUAUCGGGAGGAACACCAGUGGCGAAAGCGGCCAACUGGCCCGAUACUGACGCUCAUGUGCGAAAGCGUGGGGAGCAAACAGGAUUAGAUACCCUGGUAGUCCACGCCGUAAACUAUGGAUGCUAGCCGUUGGGGAGCUUGCUCUUCAGUGGCGCAGCUAACGUCUUAAGCAUCCCGCCUGGGGAGUACGGUCGCAAGAUUAAA